rnacentral:rRNA from 1 species
GAUGAACGCUCGCUACAGGCUUAACACAUGCAAGUCGCGGGGCAGCAUGGGGGUUGCUUGCAAUCCCCGAUGGCGACCGGCGCACGGGUGAGUAACGCGUAUCCAACCUGCCCUUCACCACGGGAUAACCCGGCGAAAGUCGGACUAAUACCGUAUGUUGUCCAUUGACGGCAUCCGAUUUGGACGAAAGGGUUGGCGGUGAAGGAUGGGGAUGCGUCCGAUUAGCUGGACGGCGGGGUGACGGCCCACCGGGGCGACGAUCGGUAGGGGUUCUGAGAGGAAGGUCCCCCACACUGGAACUGAGACACGGUCCAGACUCCUACGGGAGGCAGCAGUGAGGAAUAUUGGUCAAUGGGCGUAAGCCUGAACCAGCCAAGUAGCGUGCAGGAUGACGGCCCUAUGGGUUGUAAACUGCUUUUAUGCGGGGAUAAAGUGGCCCACGUGUGGGUUUUUGCAGGUACCGCAUGAAUAAGGACCGGCUAAUUCCGUG